GACGAAGGUGGCGAGCGUUGUUCGGAAUCACUGGGCAUAAAAGCGCACGUAGGUGGUGUCGUAAGUCGGGUGUGAAAUCCCUCGGCCUAACCGAGGAACUGCGCCCGAUACUGCGAUGCUUGAGGAUCAGAGGGGUGCAUGGAAUUUCCGGUGGAGCGGUGAAAUGCGUUGAUAUCGGAAGGAACUCCGGCGGCGAAAGCGAUGCACUGGCUGAUUUCUGACACUGAGGUGCGAAAGCCAGGGGAGCAAACGGG
rnacentral:rRNA from 1 species